rnacentral:rRNA from 1 species
CACGUAGGGCGCAAGCGUUGUCCGGAAUUAUUGGGCGUAAAGAGCUCGUAGGCGGUCUGUUGCGUCCGCUGUGAAAACUCGGGGCUUAACCCCGAGCCUGCAGUGGAUACGGGCAGACUAGAGGUAUGCAGGGGAGAACGGAAUUCCUGGUGUAGCGGUGAAAUGCGCAGAUAUCAGGAGGAACACCAGUGGCGAAGGCGGCUUUCUGGACGGUAACUGACGCUGAGGCGCGAAAGCGUGGGGAGCAAACAGG